ensembl:lncRNA LINC02008 long intergenic non-protein coding RNA 2008
GUACUCGAGUAGGGAGUCUGGCCUAGUGAAAGUCUCUGUUUCCUCCUUUUCUUACUUUUCACUCAAUAAAACCCUGCUUUACACACCCUUCAAACCAUCUGUGAGCCUGAAUUUUUACGGCCAUGGGACAGACAAGGAUCCUGUCUUUAUCUAAACUAAGGAAAAGUCCUGCAACAUUUGUGGUGCACAACGUGGGGCUCGAGAAGUGGAAAACGCCUAUUUUGGAGUGAAACCAGGGCCGCCUUAUGAGCUAAACAGAGUGUGUUACAGCUUCAAUAGACUAAACAAGCUCUAAAUUUAUCUUCCUAUGGUCACGGGAUCUCAUAUAUUCUGGCUGUCAUUGUCAUAAUAAGCCACUCUUGGUCAUAUGGAAAAGCAUUCAGCUGCUCCCUGCCUUUGCUCACAGCGUGUGGUACUCUCUUAGAAGCUAUUCCUGGUUCAUUGGUAAUUUGCUAAAAGAAUGCCAGUGGGAACAGAACAGAAGCAUUUUCAAGAUUAAAUUGGCAAUGGUUGUGACUGAUUGGAUGAAGGAAGUAAGGGGGAGAGAUUCAUCAGAGAAAGAAGGCUUCUUUAAGCAGCAGAAUUGAGGAAUGAGUCAGAAAAUAAAAGAGCAAACAGGUUUUUGUUGUUUUAUUUAAUUUUGGUCAACCUACUUGUAUUGGCUUUCAUAGCAUAAAGAAAAUAUUUUACUUUGAACAAGCAUAAAACAAAAACACAUCUUUCAUACAAUACAAUGCAAUCGAUGGCUUUUCCCCAAUGAUUUAUGGAAAUAGCUCUAAAGGAGAGAGAUGAUUUUGUUGCCAGGUCUCCUCAGAUAUCAUCAGUAUUUUUAAUCUCUCAUGACAUUGCUCUACACCCUCUUGCUGCUAUAUUUCUAAAUGCCCUGAGGAUGUUAUUUCUGGCUGUUUCUCUACAAUUAUAGGACCAUAUGCUACUCUCCUUGAUCAUAGAAAUUUAUGACAUGCUCUCUGUUUUACUUCUACCUCAGUUGACAUAAUAUUUUCCAGCAAGUUCAUGUGUUGCUUUUAAAAUAACUUAAUUCAACUCUUGUAGACAAAAAGAAACAUUUUCUUUCUGUGGUCAUUCAGGAUGAGAUGGUAACACCAGAGGUCUCAGUAACAACGCUUCAGGGAAAUAUUUUUAGGAUCUGACACAUUCAGCAGAGAAAAGGAAGAUGAAAAACUGGCCUUUUCCUGAAAAUGUGAUAAAAGCAACAUCACACUGGAAGAAAACUAACAGAGAAUGGAGGUUGAUCCACCUAAGAGACCUGUAGGUCAACACAUAUUCAAGUGCAGAUCAGAGAAUGAGCCUCCCCAGAAGAGGAAGCAGGAGAUCUGAAAGAGAAAUCUUUUCACAGAAAGGAAGUGCUCUGUUUAACAGAGCUUGACUUUAGCAUCAGUCAAUUCAGGCAGCUCUACACAGAAGAGAGCAUCUUGCCCCAGUGUCCACAGAGAGCAGGCACUUCCUGGACCCUUGAGCAAACAUGCCAGGAGGUCACUUAAAACAGCGACUCUUCCUUGGUUGUACAAAAUGAAUGGUACCAAGAAAAAAUUUUCUUUCCUUGGAGGAAAAUUAGAUUCAUUACAAGCAUUUUUUUUUUUAAAGCAACAAAUGGAACCCAGUUGUAAAAAAAAAAAAAAUAAAGAAAAGAAAAG